GAUGAACGCUGGCGGCGUGCCUAAUACAUGCAAGUCGAGCGAACAUACGAGGAGCUUGCUCCUCUGACGUUAGCUGCGGACGUUUGAGUAACACGUGGAUAACCUACCUAUAAGACUUGGAUAACUUCGGGAAACCGGCGCUAAUACCGCAUAAUAUAUUUAACCGCAUGGUUCAAUAGUGAAAGACGGUUUUGCUGUCACUUAUACAUUGUUCCGCUCCGCAUUAGCUAGUUGGUAAGGUAACGGCUUACCAAGGCAACGAUGCGUAGCCGACCUGAGAGGGUAAACAGCCACACUGAAACUGAGAAACAGUCCAAACUCCUACGAGAGGCAGCAGUAGGGAAUCGUACGCAAUGGGCGAAAGCCUGACGGAGCAAAGCCGCGUGAGUGAUGAAGGUCUUCGGAUCGUAAAACUCUGUUAUUAGGGAAGAACAAAUGUGUAAGUAACAAUGCACGUCUUGACGGUACCAGAUCAGAAAGCCACGGCUAACUACGUG
rnacentral:rRNA from 1 species